rnacentral:rRNA from 1 species
UGGGGAAUUUUGGACAAUGGGCGAAAGCCUGAUCCAGCAAUGCCGCGUGUGUGAAGAAGGCCUUCGGGUUGUAAAGCACUUUUGUCCGGAAAGAAAUGGCUCUGGUUAAUACCUGGGGUCGAUGACGGUACCGGAAGAAUAAGGACCGGCUAACUACGUGCCAGCAGCCGCGGUAAUACGUAGGGUCCAAGCGUUAAUCGGAAUUACUGGGCGUAAAGCGUGCGCAGGCGGUUGUGCAAGACCGAUGUGAAAUCCCGAGCUUAACUUGGAUUGCAUUGGUGACUGCACGGCUAGAGUGUGUCAGAGGGGGGUUAGAAUUCCACGUGUAGCAGUGAAAUGCGUAGAGAUGUGGAGGAAUACCGAUGGCGAAGGCAGCCCCUGGAGUAACACUGACGCUCAUGCACGAAAGCGUGGGGAGCAAACAGGAUUAGAUACCCUGGUAGUCCACGCCCUAAA